rnacentral:lncRNA from 1 species
AAAUGAUAGUCAGUAGUAAAUGACUAAUAAGCCCUUUUCCCCAACCUAUAAUUUCCACUGUUUAAGCAGUCCAAAGAAGUACCAGAAUACGAGAAAAGAGAAACUGCUUUCCAUAUAUGUAAGGAGGCUCUAUUUAUUUAGUCACUGGUGAUAUACAGUGGUAGUUUUCCCGUGAAGGAUAUUUAAUAGAAAUGUACAAGAGUAACAUUAACAGGUUAAAUCAUCAAGAGUUCCAUAAGCCACUGCAAACAUUUGUUACUAAAGGGCAUAGUUGUCUUCUCUGGUUGGUGUCAUUAAACAGAUGAUAAGCAUCACAAACCACCAACUGAGGCUGAUCAGUUACAUUUAUCUCAACUUAUAAAAACCCAUUACAUUUUUAUUGACUACUUCACUUAUUUUUCUGCUUAAUGCAUCCCGUAACAUUACUAUCUACACAAGUUCCUUCUCUGCUAAGUCUUCUUUCACAUGUUCAAAUUGAGUCUCUCGAGAAAUGCCUCCCCACUCUACUGAAGACAUCAUCUAUGCUAUCCUUCAGAUUGCAUGUUUCCUGAAUAAAGAAACACAAGGAGUUCCCCUUUCUUUACAGGGAAGCAUGCCUCCAACUGUCACACCCAAUCUCUUGGUCCAGGCAUGGCUAUGUUUUUGGAUUCUUUAUUCCAAGAAAUGCCUGGAACAACUAAAUGAAGAUUUUUAAUGAGAGGGAAAUCUCCUCUGUUCUUAGAGGAAAAGUGAAGAAUCCAAUCUCCUCAGGUUUACACAUACAACUGUUCGUACAUUGCAAUGCUCCUCACUUCAAGGUUCUCCACAAAAUACAGCAUUACUUGUCCUUGGCAUUCUUCAGCAUCCACAUGA